GGCUGGGUAGCUCAGUCGGUUAGUAGCGCCGCCCUCAUAAAGCGGAGGUCGUGGGUUCGAAUCCCACCCCAGCCACCA
rnacentral:tRNA from 1 species